rnacentral:rRNA from 1 species
UACGUAGGGGGCAAGCGUUGUCCGGAAUUAUUGGGCGUAAAGAGCGCGUAGGCGGUCCGAUAAGUCGGCUGUGAAAGUCAGGGGCUCAACCCUUGAAAGCCGGCCGAUACUGUCGGACUAGAGUCCGGAAGAGGCGAGUGGAAUUCCCGGUGUAGCGGUGAAAUGCGCAGAUAUCGGGAGGAACACCCGUGGCGAAGGCGGGUCUCUGGGACGGUACUGACGCUGAGACGCGAAAGCGUGGGGAGCGAACAGG